UCAGACGAUGCGUCAUGCAUAUCAAUAAGCGGAGGAAAAGAAACUAACAAGGAUUCCCCUAGUAACGGCGAGUGAAGCGGGAAGAGCUCAAAUUUGAAAUCUUAAAGGGUUUCCCUUUACGAAUUGUAGUUUAAAGAAGUGUUUUCUGUUGAGGUUUUGGUAAAAGUUCUUUGGAAUAGGACAUCAUAGAGGGUGAGAAUCCCGUAUUUGACCUUUACUUUCAACUUUGUGAUACACUUUCAAAGAGUCGGAUUGUUUGGGAAUGCAGUCCAAAAUGGGUGGUAAAUUUCAUCUAAAGCUAAAUAUUGGCGAGAGACCGAUAGCGAACAAGUACCGUGAGGGAAAGAUGAAAAGAACUUUGAAAAGAGAGUUAAACAGUACGUGAAAUUGUCAAAAGGGAAGCGUUUGACACCAGUGUUGUUUUUCUGAAAAUCAAUUAAAGAACUGUUUAUGCUAAGCUGUUUAGACUUUAUCAGCUAUCUGUUUAGUUUUGAGCUUUUCUUUAAUGCACUUUUCAGUUAACAAGUCAACAUCAAUUUCUUUUGCUGUAAAAAAGCUUGAGGAAGGUGGCUUGAGAUUCGUCUUAAGUGUUUAUAGCCUCUUGCCUAUGCAGUCGGAGAGAUUGAGGUCUGCAGCGUAGAUCCUUCGGAGCUAAAUGCAUUUGUGCUAAGUUAUAGCAUUUUAUAGACAACUUGUUGACUAUGAUUUGUCUUGUAGCUUACUCGCUUAUGUUAUUUUACCUACGCUUAGGAUGUUGACACACGCGCGUGCUCG
rnacentral:rRNA from 1 species